GCAUAUCAAUAAGCGGAGGAAAAGAAACCAACAGGGAUUGCCCCAGUAACGGCGAGUGAAGCGGCAACAGCUCAAUUUGAAAUCUGGCCCCCAGGGCCCGAGUUGUAAUUUGCAGAGGAUGCUUUUGGCGCGGUGCCUUCCGAGUUCCCUGGAACGGGACGCCAUAGAGGGUGAGAGCCCCGUCUGGUCGGAGGCCUAGCCUGUGUAAAGCUCCUUCGACGAGUCGAGUAGUUUGGGAAUGCUGCUCUAAAUGGGAGGUAUAUGUCUUCUAAAGCUAAAUACCGGCCAGAGACCGAUAGCGCACAAGUAGAGUGAUCGAAAGAUGAAAAGCACUUUGAAAAGAGGGUUAAAUAGUACGUGAAAUUGUUGAAAGGGAAGCGCUUGUGACCAGACUUGGGCCCGGUGGAUCAUCCAGCGUUCUCGCUGGUGCACUCCGCCGGGUUCAGGCCAGCAUCAGUUCGCCGCGGGGGAAAAAGGCUUCGGGAACGUGGCUCCUACGGGAGUGUUAUAGCCCGUUGCAUAAUACCCUGGGGCGGACUGAGGUUCGCGCUCCGCAAGGAUGCUGGCGUAAUGGUCAUCAGCGACCCGUCUUGAAACACGGACCAAGGAGUCGUCUUCGUAUGCGAGUGUUCGGGUGUAAAACCCCUACGCGUAAUGAAAGUGAACGCAGGUGAGAGCUUCGGCGCAUCAUCGACCGAUCCUGAUGUUCUCGGAUGGAUUUGAGUAAGAGCAUACGGGGCCGGACCCGAAAGAAGGUGAACUAUGCCUGUAUAGGGUGAAGCCAGAGGAAACUCUGGUGGAGGCUCGCAGCGGUUCUGACGUGCAAAUCGAUCGUCAAAUAU
rnacentral:rRNA from 1 species